CAAUCCCCGCUGUGUCGUCGAAGUCGUAGAUUCCUUGGACCAAUGUCGAGAGACUUGGUCGCGGACCAUGGAUGCCGCAGGUGUGCACGCCCCUAGCCGGGUGAGCCUGAUGCGGAAGGAAAGCGACCUCCCUGAACCCCAGGUUCAGGAUGCCGGCCGAGGCGACACUGCGGGGGCCAA
rnacentral:misc_RNA from 1 species